UGGGGAAUCUUCCGCAAUGGACGAAAGUCUGACGGAGCAACGCCGCGUGAGUGAUGACGGCCUUCGGGUUGUAAAGCUCUGUUAAUCGGGACGAAUGGUUCUUGUGCGAAUAGUGCAAGGAUUUGACGGUACCGGAAUAGAAAGCCACGGCUAACUACGUGCCAGCAGCCGCGGUAAUACGUAGGUGGCAAGCGUUGUCCGGAAUUAUUGGGCGUAAAGCGCGCGCAGGCGGAUUGGUCAGUCUGUCUUAAAAGUUCGGGGCUUAACCCCGUGAUGGGAUGAAAACUGCCAAUCUAGAGUAUCGGAGAGGAAAGUGGAAUUCCUAGUGUAGCGGUGAAAUGCGUAGAUAUUAGGAAGAACACCAGUGGUGAAGGCGACUUUCUGGACGAAAACUGACGCUGAGGCGCGAAAGCCAGGGGAGCGAACGGG
rnacentral:rRNA from 1 species